CGGCAACAGCUCAAAUUUGAAAUCUGGCGCAAGCCCGAGUUGUAAUUUGUAGAGGAUGUUUCUGGCGACGUGCCUUCCGAGUUCCCUGGAACGGGACGCCAUAGAGGGUGAGAGCCCCGUA
rnacentral:rRNA from 1 species